rnacentral:rRNA from 1 species
UACGUAGGGCGCAAGCGUUGUCCGGAAUUAUUGGGCGUAAAGAGCUCGUAGGCGGCCUGUUGCGUCCGCUGUGAAAUCCCGGGGCUCAACCCCGGGCGUGCAGUGGAUACGGGCUGGCUGGAGGCAGGCAGGGGAGAACGGAAUUCCUGGUGUAGCGGUGAAAUGCGCAGAUAUCAGGAGGAACACCGGUGGCGAAGGCGGUUCUCUGGGCCUGUACUGACGCUGAGGAGCGAAAGCGUGGGAAGCGAACAGG